CAGCAGCCGCGGUAAUACGAAGGGUGCAAGCGUUACUCGGAAUUACUGGGCGUAAAGCGUGUGUAGGUGGUUGUUUAAGUCUGUCGUGAAAGCCCUGGGCUCAACCUGGGAAUUGCGAUGGAUACUGGGCGACUAGAGUGCGGUAGAGGAUAGUGGAAUUUCCGGUGUAGCAGUGAAAUGCGUAGAGAUCGGAAGGAACAUCUGUGGCGAAGGCGACUAUCUGGGCCAACACUGACACUGAGACACGAAAGCGUGGGGAGCAAACAGGAUUAGAUACCCCGGUAGUCCCUGUCUCUUAUAA
rnacentral:rRNA from 1 species